UACGAAGGGGGCUAGCGUUGCUCGGAAUCACCGGGCGUAAAGGGUGCGUAGGCGGGUCUUUAAGUCAGGGGGGAAAUCCUGGAGCUCAACUCCAGAACUGCCUUUGAUACUGAAGAUCUUGAGUUCGGGAGAGGUGAGUGGAACUGCGAGUGUAGAGGUGAAAUUCGUAGAUAUUCGCAAGAACACCAGUGGCGAAGGCGGCUCACUGGCCCGAUACUGACGCUGAUGCACGAAAGCGUGGGGAGCAAACAGG
rnacentral:rRNA from 1 species